AGAGAACAUCCUGGUUGACCUGGCCACCGGGCAGGCCAAAUUGAUUGACUUUGGCUGUGGCACCUACCUGCAAGAGACAGCCUACACUCACUUUGCAGGAACACCAUCAUACAGCCCCCCGGAAUGGACCCGCUUUGGCUGGUACCAUGGCAAGCCAGCUACCAUCUGGUCCCUGGGCAUCCUGCUGCACGAGAUGGCCUGUGGGAAGAUGCCUUUCAGGAGGGGCUGGAACUUCAGCUGGGGCCAGCUCUCACUGCCACAACGGCUCUCUCCAGAGUGCCAAAAUCUGAUUGGGUGGUGUUUAUCCAUGCACCCCUUGGCCAGACCCUCAUUAGAAGAGGUGUUCUGUCAUCCUUGGAUGCAGGAUAUUCAUCUGCCCUAGAAGAAGGGAGAGAGCCACAGGCACACUGUGCUGCAGGGCCCUGGUAAGUUACAGCUGCACACAUGCCUUGGCA